CAAUUUGUUUAGGCGAACCCGGGGCGCCGGGCUGAGACAGGGACACGAUCCGUCCCCAUAGCCUUCGAACCUGAUGCGGUUAGCACCGCCGAAGGGAAAACGGACCCGAUCACC
rfam:Opitutaceae bacterium TAV5, complete genome.